GUGUUUGCAAAUGACGACCGAUUUUGAAAUGGUCUCACGGCCAAAAACUCGUGUCCGACAUCAACCC
rfam:Xenopus laevis iodothyronine 5-deiodinase type III mRNA, complete cds.